UACGAAGGGGCUAGCGUUGCUCGGAAUCACUGGGCGUAAAGCGCACGUAGGCGGAUUGUUAAGUCAGGGGUGAAAUCCUGGAGCUCAACUCCAGAACUGCCUUUGAUACUGGCGAUCUCGAGUCCGGGAGAGGUGAGUGGAACUGCGAGUGUAGAGGUGAAAUUCGUAGAUAUUCGCAAGAACACCAGUGGCGAAGGCGGCUCACUGGCCCGGUACUGACGCUGAGGUGCGAAAGCGUGGGGAGCAAACAGGG
rnacentral:rRNA from 1 species